GUCGCCCCCUCCUCCAUCCCUCUGUUAUUCCAGUCCACUUUUCACUAGCAAGAUUUAAUAAUCCAUUAAAAUAGCAGCGAUCCCACACCAUGAACCGAGAGGCACGCUAACGAUGAACAAGCUGGAUGACGACUCUCAUAGGUGAAAAGUGGACUGGAAUAAUAGAGGGAUGGGGGAGGGGGCGACUAGAAGGAGAAAAAAAGUAGUAUGUUUCUCCUUUUUGGGUUUUCAUGAGGAGCCUACAUGACAUGUUAUAAUUGGCUUGUCCUUAGCUAUCAUGCAGGAGAAGCACCUCAAAGAUUUCUCAUGGCAAGGCAGACCCAUUACAAUCUUUGUUCUGCAAGGCCUCUACGGAUCAUAUAUAAGUGAAGGAGAUGGUGGAAAUUUUACCAUUAACGAUUUGCAAUGCAUCUUUAGUUUAGCUUUUUUUUUUUUUUCUCCUCUAUACCUUCCAAUUAAUUCAUAUCUGAAAUGAAUGUAGUAAUUGUUUUACUUUUUCUGUUCUGCAAUCUUUCCAGUGAAAAUUGAUUAAUAUAUCUUUAUAAUUCUCCACA